rnacentral:ribozyme from 1 species
AUGAUGGAGGAAAAAAUAAAUCAAAAACAAAAAAACAACCAACCCGCAGCUCUCUGAUUGUGUUUCUGUCUUUCAACAAUGGGAGCUCGUCAAUUUUUUUCUUUUUAUUGAUUUAUCUGCUUUUU